rnacentral:lncRNA from 10 species
GCCUCAGCCAUGGACGCGUCCCUGGAGAAGCUUGGGAGUCUGCUUGUCCAAUCCAGUGCAUACCCGGUUUUUCAUGCAUGUGGCAUUCAGGAGCAAUGCUCGUGUUUUAAGACGGCUACAUUUUAAUUUUGAGCUGAGGGAGUCUCGGUCUCUUGCCCAGGCUGGAGUGCAGUGAGGCGAUCUCGGAUCACUGCAACCUCCGCCUCCCGGAUUCAAGUGAUUCUCCUGCCUCAGCCUCCCGAGCAGCUGUGACUAUAGGCGUGUGACACCACACCCGACUAAUUUUUGUAUUCCCAGUAGAGAUGGGGUUUCACCAUGUUGGUCAGGAUGGUCUCAAACGCCUGACCUUGUGAUCCUUCAGCCUCAGCCUCCCACAGUGCUGGGAUUACAGGCGUAAGCCACUGCAUCUGGCCGGGACUUAGAUUUAUAUUCCCUGAAGUAAUACAGGGCCUUAGAUGGAAUGAACGAUUUAUAUUGGUGCUAAUUGGGCAGAAAAGAAAAAGCAUUGCUGUAAUAUGAAUGUUGAUGACUUUAUGUUCUGAAAAAUAGUCUGGGUCAAAGUGAAACAUUUAAUUGUGUUCAUUAUUCCUGUUUCUUUGAGGAAUAGACUAUCCUGCGUUAAAUUCUACAUUGUUAAUAUAAACUCAAGAGCUAUGUGAGCAGUUGUGAAUGAUCCCAUUUAAACUGAUUCUUGCGUAAUUUAUACUGAUUACAGAAACCACAAUGUUAUUUGAUGCUCACCCUCUAAAAUUUAAAAUAAUAUCUCUCAC